rnacentral:rRNA from 1 species
UACAUGGGGUGCAAACGUUGCUCGGAAUCAUUGGGCGUAAAGCGCACGUAGGCGGCCUGAUAAGUCGGAUGUGAAAUCCCUCGGCUCACUGAGGACGUGCAUUCGAAACUGCCAGGCUCGAGUAUGGAAGAGGGUCGCGGAAUUCCCGGUGUAGAGGUGAAAUUCGUAGAUAUCGGGAGGAACACCAGUGGCGAAGGCGGCGACCUGGGCCAAUACUGACGCUGAGGUGCGAAAGCGUGGGGAGCAAACAGGAUGAGAUA